CACGUUGCCAUCUCUUUCCUUCGGCUUUUGGCGCGCUACUAUUGCUGCGUGUGCUGCGAUGGAAAGCACGCGUGCGCACGCCCGAUCGUGUGUAGUUCGCGCGUUCUAGUGUGCCGCGACGUCGUGUCCAGGGAAGGCUGCUCGCUGCCGCUCGAAACAAACAAGCUUUGGCUUCGCGGCAAACAACACCACACGUUCGAAACCGCGUACCAACCGGGGCGCUCACCCGUGUUUAGGCGUGCGUGCGUGCGUGCGUCCCAGCGUGUAUAAUAUUCGCGAGUGCGAACGGGUUUUCGGUUUUGUUUCGUUCUUGCUGUUUUUUGUUGUGUGCGGAAAAACGGGCGAAAGACGCACAAAACAGAAAAGCAAACCGGCUGGCUGACUGCUGGUACAGAACGCGGCGCCAAACACUCCCCGUUCUGCGCCCAUUGCCGAACAGCAAAAACGUUGGCCGUUUGUGGCUUUUCUGUGGGGCUGUGUGUCUGAAACCGCGUGGUUUGCGAGUCACCCCGAAAGAACAGCCCCGUCGCUCGGAAGGGGAGGGAGUGCAGCAGCAGCAGUAGCGGCAGCAUCAGCAUCAGCAGCCACCCCAAAAGGUGUGCUGGGCGUGUGGCGGCAAGCAAUCAAUACUGUAAGAGGCGUGUGCAAAAAUAGGCCAGUGCUGAAUAUCCGCAGAAGUGUGGCAGUGUUUUUUGUUAUUGUUGUUCUAGCUGUUUUUAGUGAAGGAUAGAGGAGGGGUAAAGCCCCAUUCGGGAACUAUUGCUUACGCCUCGUGCAAUCGUGUGUAUGUGUGGAAUGGUUUAAUAGAAGGUAGGAAAAAGAAAAGAAAGCAGAAACGUCCUGCCAAACGGUCCACGCGGUGCUAAUCGAUGUCGAUAUAUUGCGAAUAGUGUGGGUAGCUCAGGCGAAUCGCUGCAAGGAUAGCAGGACCCUGGUCCGCCGUCAGUUCUGCCUCAACAACAACAACAACGACCGGUGGUGAGUGCAAUCGUCGUGUGCCGCAUAUAUCUAUUGAUCCAAUGUUUAUCUGAAACGGGCAAGCCCUUUUCUUUGUCUGGCAUUGGAUGGAGCAAGCGUGCAAAGGAGUGAUAGCUCGCGAUAUCGUGAAGCUCGGUUUUUCCUGUGUUGUUUGUGUUUUUGUUUGUGUGUGUGUGUGUGUGCCCUCGUGAGUGUUUGCCACGUUUGAUUCGCUAGAGUAAAAGUGUCUAACGCAAGCCAAGAAGAAGCGCUGGUCUGCCAAGUUCAAGAAGUGAUUAUACGCGAACCGAGCGAAACGUGAGGGCCGGCUGUGUGUGUGUGCCGCUAUUCGCUGCCUAGCGCACAACUGCCAGCGAAUGAGGUGCUAAUUUGCGACUAAUAUCUUCGAUCGAGCGAUGAGCGUGAAAGCCAUUCUGAUGAAGGCCGGGCUUUAUUGAUGCGCAGAAUUCCUUCAUCAACCCAUUCCCAUGUGCAGUGCGAUCAUGCACGAAACCCGAAGUAACAAUAUAACAGUUACUUGUUGAUGCCGCAACAUAGACGCUUGAAAACAUUGACUGUUUUUUCAGCAAUCAGAUAGAACCGUGCUAGGGACUCGCUGGAAUGAUCAAACGAUUAGCAAAGUUCAAUGCACUCAGCAAAUUGCAAUCGUAUCCAGAUACGGGCACGAGCCAUUUGCUAUGGCCAGCAGAGUACCGCUCACGUACGAAAUGUCUCCAACGGUACACACAGAGGCGGACAUCGAGUCGGCAGUAGCAGUAGCGAAGCAGGUAGCGGAAGCAGUCGAAGAGGAGGAAGGAUCUGCGGACGAUCUCCAUCCUAGGUUGCCGGGCACCACCACCACCGCCUUCCAGCCGUCGCCCGUCGUCGUCGUACCCGGGUCCGUCACCAUAGUCGUUGAGUGUCAUAACGAUGCGGAUGCUGCCGCCGAUGGUGGUACUGAUGGUAGUCGCAUCACCACUACCACCAACAACAACAGUGCUAGUAUGAAAUGUCUCAAUUUUACCACCUCGCCCCACGCAUCCGCUCGCAAUACUCAUCCUGCAUCUGGCCAGGGCUGCAUCUCGAACACGACAGUACAGGACGGUGGUUUCGAAACGACGACAUCAUCACCAUCGCCGCCGUUGUCGCCGCCAAUAGCAACAACAACAACCACAGUAGAUAGUGCAAAGAGUAAUCAAUUCGUCAAUCAUAGCUUUAGCUGCGGAAGGGGGGAAGAAGACAUGGGCACCAGUGGUUCCGUGGUCGUGGCCAGCGAGGAUUGUGCCGAGGCCGCCCAAACGCAACCGGGGAUGACGGAGCUGGCACGCGGCUUUGCGGAUGUAGUGCGCGUGUCGACCAGUGUGCCGCAGCCGGUGACGGUCAGCUGCUGCGCUACCGGACCGGGCGGAAACGGAGUGGCGCCGAGAGGCACGCCGACAGCAGGUACUAGCUUCCACUACGCAACGGCAGCAGCCGUGGCGGCUGUAGCGAUGACUGCGGCGGCGGCAGCAGCAGCAGCAACGACGGCUGCUGCAACCGUGUCGCCCAGCCGAGCAAAAAACCCCGUAACCCCUUGUGCGUCCGGUGACGGUGACGAUAACCCAUUGCCACCACCACUACCACCACCCAGCAUAGAACCGAUGGCGCCGACGCCUGCCCAUCAUCCCGUGCAUUACCAUCCUAUGAUAACCAUCAGUGACCAUAACGUGGACGCCACUGCUAACCCUAAUAACCGUACUACUACUACUAUUACUACUACCACUAACCCAACCGUGCAUGAGCUUCGGCGUGAGGUAUCGGCGGGACCCAGUACCCAAUCCUGUGAUAAUGACCACCACCACCACCACCACCAUCAACAACAACAAAAUUAUCAUCAUUCUAACCCAACCGUUGUUAUGCCUUUCGUACCACCCACUAACGUGCCGCUCGAUGCAGAUCGAUGCGACGAACUAACUGCUAACGUCCCAUCAUCCACCAGCAAUUACCACCACCACCACCAAUACCAUCAUCCCGUCGUAACCACCACCACCACCACCAGUACUACCAGUGUCGCCACUAACACGGUGACGGGAAGGACCAGUAAACCGCCGCUCCAUAGCUACCAGCAUCACUACCAGAGCUACCACCACCAUCAGCUGUCCACUGACAGUUGUGGAAGCAGCAGUAGUGGUGGUGGUGUGCCACCAGCAGUGUCGAUGGUAGCGGGCGGUGGCACCUAUCGGUCGCAUAGUGCCCGCUUUAUGACGCAGCACAUUAAAAUCCUACCCAAAACUCAAUCCCUCGAUUUGGCAGAUAAUGACGACAUGCUGGAAGCGUCCAACCGGUCCGAAUCGCAGCUCGAGAUCAGUGCGGCCGGCAUAGGGCCGGGGGCGGGCGGGCUGCGGGGCCGCGUACUGCCGAAGCUGCAGACGCUCGAGCAGACGACGCGCCCGAUCUACCCGAACGUGCCGUACAGCCCGUACAACAGCCCGUACGGUAGCCCGCGCAGUGGCCGCCGCCGGACACCGUUGCGCGAGUCGAGGCGCGUGUCGAUCGAGCAGUCGGGCAGCUUUCUGCAGCUGAACCAGUACAAACUGCUGGACCAGAUCGGGCAGGGUUCGUACGGUUUGGUGAAGCUGGCAUACUCCGAGGAAGACUCUACACACUACGCCAUGAAGAUCCUGUCGAAAAGGAAGCUCCUUCGCAAGGCGGGCCUGAUGCGCCGGGGACCGAAGCGGGGCACAUCGCCACUGGACCGGGUGUAUCGUGAGAUUGCCGUGCUGAAGAAGCUGGACCAUCCGAACGUGGUGAAGCUGGUGGAGGUGCUGGACGAUCCGCUGGAGGAUUCGCUCUAUCUAGUCUUCGAGUUGGUGCAACAGGGCGAAGUGUUGAGCAUACCGACCGAAACACCCCUGAGCGAGGAACGUGCCUGGAAUGUGUUUCGAGACGUGCUGCUGGGCGUCGAAUAUCUACACUAUCAGCGCAUCAUCCACGGGGACCUGAAGCCGGCCAAUCUGCUGCUGUCCGAUUCUGGCAGCGUCAAGGUGGCUGACCUCGGCGUCUGCAACGAGUUCCUCGGCGAGGAUGCGGCCAUGAACAACGGUUCCACGGCGGGGACGCCCGCCUUUCGGGCGCCAGAAACGCUGCUGCCCGGGCAACACUUCUACAAUGGCAAGGCGGCCGACAUCUGGGCCCUGGGCGCUACACUGUUCUCGCUCGUGCACGGCAACGUCCCGUUCAUUGCCACCUCGGUGCCGGGCGUGUACGAGAAGAUCAAGAACGAUCCGCUCGAGUUUCCGGCGAACUGCUCGAGUGCCGCCGCCAGCACCAUCAGCGAGGAGCUACGCGAUCUGAUCAGCCGUAUGCUCGAUAAGGACCCGCAGCAGCGCAUCACGCUGCCCCAGAUCAAGGAGCACCCGUGGAUGACCAAGCACGGUACGGUGCGGCUGCCGAGCGAGGAGGAAAACUGCCGGCUGGUGCAGAUCAGCGACGAGGACAUGAGCAGCGUGGUCAAGAGCAUACCGAAGCUGGACACGCUCAUCCUGAUCAAGACGAUGCUGAAGAAGCACUCGUUCCAGAACCCGUUCACCAAGGGCAUCUCGGGGCGGGCACCGCAGGCGGGCGGUUCGCGGCUGGAGCGGUUCUGCCGCUCGGGUCGCUCCAACUCGGCCCCGGGCGACUACCACACCUCGGAACGCCAACCUUCGAGCGAGUCGCUGCUCCCGUCGGUGACGGAAGGGGUGACCAGCCCGCUCGGCAGUCCGGAUGCCACCUCCACCGUCGCCACCAUCACCACCGGCAGCAUCAUCUCCGAGCUGGACAGUCUCACGCUUCGGUCGGACGUAUCGUGCCCAUCCUCCAGCACGGACAACGAUACGGCCACGGUAACAAUUAUUACCACUCCGCCCGAGUAGCCGAUAGCUUGCCGCUAGAGAGAGACACCCAUACGCACACACACAAACAGACAGACACAGACAGCACACAACACACUCGCACAUCGCGUAGGCUGUUGUUAGUGCGCUUCGUAGUUUCGUCAUGGCCAUCCUGUGGCUAGAAAGUGUUACAGACGCAUCAGACGCUUGUGUAGGUUGUGAGAGGAGUUGGCGUAGCAACGGGCUUGCUGUACAAACGUACACCACACACACACACACACACACACACACAUACCAACACACCUACAGUAGUGCAGUCCCUGCUUAGUACCUCCUACUACGAAGUACUGCUGUAGAGUAGCUUCACACAGCCUCCCCCCACUUGCCUCCCUUUUCUAGCUGCCCCGCGAGCUAACACCAUCCCGAUGGUACAGAGUUCGUCCAUCGAUUGCACGGGCAUCAAAGAUGGCGUCCGAUUUCGUACACCGUUUCUGCCAACAGUGAGUGUGCAGUGUAGUGUGUAUGUGUGUGGUGUGUGUGUGUAGAUAGUAGAGUAGAGUGCGCACUAAAAAAAAACAAUCGCACCCUCAACUGUCACCGCUUGACAGUUGGCGACUAAGCUGAUGGAGCGUCUGUACGUAGUGCACAAAAACAAAACGCCGUAAUAUGACAUUAAUGUUUGGUUUGUUGCAAUUGUUUUAUUGAUACGAAACGCGCCCCAAGGCGUUGUGACAAAGAAGGGAACAAAGUAGAAGCGUUUGGUUAAGCGACAGAGCCUCUGGCAAUAAGGGCUGUGCAAACACAAACACACACACACGCAUCCCACAGUGUGCAAUAGGACGCUCCGAACAACACAGCAAACUGCCCAAACCGUGCAGUGUGCAGGUUUGGGCUCGUUUGGAGGAAAGGUUUUGUUAGUUUAAAUAUACCGAUAGUUGAUUAGUUAAUAAGUGAUCCAGGUUUUAAUUGAGGCCCCGCACAAGUUUCUAUACCCAUGCGCUGUAAUAAACACAGCACAAGUCAUCAGAGUUACUAUAGACAUUGUAAUAUCAGACCGUCUACUACUAUUUCGUACUACUACGCACAAAACAAAAGCAAACAAAAAGCACGCUAGCAUGUAAGAGACAGACACGACAGCUUGGCUGCACUAAUACCCUGCUGCUGCUGCUGCUGUUGUGCUGCUUUAACUUUGUUUUCAAUACAAAAUUUAAUAAUAAUCAUUUCCAGUACUUUAUUAAGUGAUAGCUCCCACUACCCGUCAAACCCGCUAAAACCGGGGGCAUCGUAAAAAUCUUAAUGUUUAAAAUCGUCACCGUUUGCAACGGCACAACUAACGCUAUUCUUACAUUUUUCUCUAACUGUUGUUGUACAUGAAUAAAACACACGUACACACACAACAUUCCAUUAAGACCGCGGGAAGGAGUGCACCUAUGUUGUGGCAAACUUUCCCGUGGAAAUUCAGAAUUGAAAACGCUUUAAUACUACUUAUAUGAAAUAUAUGAUAAGAAAGGAAAAUAAAUCGAGCUAUCAAAAACGUUCGCACAAAAAAAAAAGAACCGGGUAUAAACUCGUACUAUAACUAAAUAAAACGGGAAUUGUAAGGGGGAAAUUUAACCUACACACAACAAGUACACAACAACACACGAACAACACCACACGCCACAGCAAAAUUCAAAGUUGGAAUCACAAUGAUAGAACCAGAAAAAGACCAAUCCGCUAGCCGUUGUCGUCCGCCCGCGCCGUUCGCAUGACGCGGGUUAUUAUCGUAUGAUAAGGUAGAUGAUAAGGUAGCAACAAAACCAGAAGCGAUAGAUUUUUUAAACGAUAUCGAACGAGUUUCCUCCAAAGAGACGGGUUUUUUUUAGUGGAUAGCCAUUUUUACGGAUACAUUUAUGGUACAGUUUUCCUCGGGCUUUGUUUACCCCUCACACUCCCCCUCCCCCAUCCCAUUUUCCUCGCUUUCCCGCGAUCUAGAAAAAGCUAAUCGGUAAGAACGGCUGUUAAGAAGUUAGCGCGAAAUAUAGACACAUUUGUUAGGCUUUGCAAGGGCUGAUAGACUUACUAGAGUAAAGGGAGGAAAAAGGGCGGUAGGGUGAAAGUAGUCAGCAAUUAAAAUGUAGAAAAGCAAAAGAACAGGAAUCAGCUUGUGGUCCCUUUUGUCCCAACUCAGUCUCCUUAUUGACAGUUUACACUUACACAGUUUCUUGGAACGGUACCGAAUCAAAGAUCCUCCUCUUAUCAAGCUCGUUUUAGAGAUAUCAUAGUUAGAACAGUGGUUUUCCUCUCCAAUAGAAAAUCCCUUUAAGUAAUGACUCCCCACCCAGUCCCAUGCUUGUUAGCAAUAACCGCCAUAAACCACCACCACCCCGUGGUUUAAAACCCUGAAAGUGAUCACAAUACAACGAGAAGCAAAACUCUGAUCGUUAUGUUUUUUAAUUUUUGCAAGAAGAAGAAAAAGAAGAUGAAAAAACACUGAAAAUUGUUAAUAAACCUGCAAGCGAAAGCGAUAAAAUAAAGCAAUGUUAAAGAGUCUUUAUUACAACCCGCGCCAAACUGAAAAUGGGGAACACAUAGGGAUGCAUUUGUCUGCAUUGUUUGUUUGUGUGACUUUUUCUGUCCAACUCCCUCCCUCCCCACCCUACCUAUCUGCACCCACAAUUGCACCAACGAUGAAAUGAUGCAAGCGACAACAAAUCGACAAGCACACAUCAAAAGGAAGGAAAAAGCGCAGCCCAAUGCACUUUAGCAUAUCGCGUAACGGCAUUGUUGCAUUGUUAAACCUAGAGUCAGUGUACCUCUCGUUGAGAAAAAAAAGGGGAGGCGAAAAAGGAAAGCACACAAGUCGAGCAAGAAAGGUGUUUGUGAGUGUGUGUGUGUGUAGACGGGAAAUUGAAAAAUUGUUUGUUAAAAUUGAACCGUGUUUUGUAGGAGGAAAGUGUGAGAAAGGAAGCAAGAGAAAGGAUACAAGAAAUCCCUUUUAAAAUAUGUUAAUAAUAAGUGUGGGGAAAAGAAAAAGAACAACAUACAAUUCGACAUUCGAAGCAUAAUGAUAUUUUACAAAUUUUCAGUUACUUCAGAUUAAAUAAUGUUUAAGCGUAGAUGAUAUUAAUACAAAAAGAAACAAAAAACAAGAGAGAAACGUAGAAGUGCAAUGGGAAAUGCAGAGGAAAAUAUGACACUUGUGUCUCAGUUUUUAUAUAACUCUCUGUCUCUCUCUCUCUCUCUCUCUCUCUUUUAACAAAUAUUAACAACUACUACCGAAAGCAUAUCAAGUUGACAAGCUACAUAAAAUUUAAAACUAACUUAAAAAAACACACACACAUAAGACAUGAGAGAAACCCAUUGCGAGUAAUCACUUGGAAAGCUUUAGCAUACAGUCUUUCCCCGAGUUACGCGAAUAAUGCGUUCCGGAGACAUUCGCGUAACUCGGAUUUUCGCGUAAGUCGAAUAUCACAUGUUACAGCAAAAAUAUACUUUAUUUAUCAUAAUUUUUGAUUGAAUUUAGUUCAUUUAUGUAAUUUAAUACUUAUUUGAUGCAAUUGGUGUAGAAAAUUUGGUUAUUUAUCGGUAAUUAUUUUUCAUUUGACAAUUGAUGGAGAAAAUUGUACUGAUUUGACAUCUGAACUGUCAAAAAUAAAAAUUCGCGUAACUCGAAUUCGCGUAACUCGAGUGUCGCGUAACUCGGGGAAAGACUGUAUAACUACUACUACACAAAACUCCUCCCCCUUAUUUGUGAUAAAAUGAUUAAAAAAGCAUGAAAAUUGGGUGCAAAUAGAAGAGGAAAAAGAGAAGCGAAUUAAUAAAAUCUGAUAAAAGAAAAACUCUCCAUAUUAGUAGAUUUGUGCAUCCUUUAAAACAGCGGGCUAGAGAGCGGGCGACACGAGCAAGCAAGCAGCAAGCGAAAACUCGUAAACUUUUAUAUAAGACUUUUCCAAUUUCAAAAUAAAUUAAAGAAAAUUAAUAUUAAAAAAAGAGAAGUUUAUUAGUAUAUGGAGAUUAAAGCAGAAAACUGGUAGAAAAGAAAAACGAAGGCCAAAAAUAAUUAAAAACGCAUAACUUUACUAACACUCUCUCUCUCUCUCUCUCUUUCAAUCGUCCAUGUUUGCGCUAGAGAACAUUGGCGUGCGAUGAGCGAAAGCUUUUAAGCUUGUGCGCGAGCGCGCGCAUAUGUUUGCGUGUUUGCGUGCGCAACGCCGUCUCGACAUUUAAACAUUUCUACAAUUAAACAUACACAAUUAUGAACAAAAGCAAGCGAAAAGAUGCACUUAAAAAAGCACAAUUUUUAUAAUAACUGCACAAUCUCUUUCCAUCUGUCUUCUUGUUCGCUUUGUGUCUCCUUCAUCAACACUCUUUAAUCGAUCUGUAACAUUCGCACAGCUCAAGCACGCACAAACACAAUUUUAAAGGUGCAUUUUUUCAACUUAACUCAAAUCGUUGUAGUAUUUAAGUAAAGGAGAAAGCGAAAAAAAAAGAGUUUAUCCUUGUAAGUGAAUUAAUAGCAAUAACCGGAGCACGGGUGUUGUUUUGUGUGGAUUGAAAGGAUCUGAUACACGGUGGUGUGGUGGUUGUUGCUGUCCUCUGUCCUUAGAUCGCACGUCCACGUGGCGUAAAGGGGCGCGCAUUGCACUUAUGCGAAUAUUACGCGACCGUUCGACCCACUCCCCCUCCCCCCAGAGACAAUCAGGCGCGUGGUGGAUUGCAAAAAGCAACAAAAUACACCCACUUGUCGGUGAAAAAUGAAACCAAAAUAAUGAAGAAAAGGAAAUAGUAUGGGAUAAAAGAUAGAAAAAUCACACAAAGCUGCUGCUGGGGCGUGUAAUGGACGCGGAGCUGACCGUCACGGUGCGGACAUUAGGACACAUAGACAUACACACAAAUGCCAUUUGGUGCAAUAGUAAUACUCUCCUCUCCAUCCCCGUAUUGUAUUCGGUAUCGUGUUUCAAAACAGAGAAUAAAAAAGCAGGUGAAACCAACACUCUCCCAACACUGAAUUAAAUGCCAGUAGGCAAAACAAA